rnacentral:rRNA from 1 species
GUUGGGAAUAUUGCGCAAUGGGGGAAACCCUGACGCAGCAUCGCCGCGUGCGGGAUGAAGGCUUUCGGGUUGUAAACCGCUUUCAGCAGGAAAGAUAAUGACGGUACCUGCAGCAGAAGCCCCGGCUAACUACGUUCCAGCAGCCGCGGUAAUACGUAGGGGGCAAGCGUUAUCCGGAUUCAUUGGGCGUAAAGCGCGCGCAGGCGGGUUGCUAAGCGGGACCUCUAAUCUUGGGGCUCAACCUCAAGCCGGGUCCCGAACUGGCAGCCUCGAGUGCGGUAGGGGUAAGCGGAAUUCCCGGUGUAGCGGUGGAAUGCGCAGAUAUCGGGAAGAACACCGAUGGCGAAGGCAGCUUACUGGGCCGUCACUGACGCUGAGGCGCGAAAGCUAGGGGAGCGAACAGG